UACGUAGGGUCCAAGCGUUAUCCGGAAUCACUGGGCGUAAAGCGUGCGUAGGCGGCGUGUUAAGUGUGAUGUUAAAUCGUGUGGCUCAACCAUAUCGAUGCAUCGCAUACUGGCAUGCUAGAGGAAGGCAGAGGCAAGUGGAAUUGGCAGUGUAGCAGUGAAAUGCGUAGAGAUUGCCAGGAACACCAAUGGCGAAGGCAGCUUGCUGGGCCUUUUCUGACGCUGAGGUACGAAAGCGUGGGGAGCGAACAGG
rnacentral:rRNA from 1 species